rnacentral:rRNA from 1 species
AGUCGAGGGCUUUACUGUCUCUUACUUCCWAUYSGUGAMAUUGACCUUCCCGUGAAGAGGCGGGAAUAUGACAAUAAGACGAGAAGACCCUAUGGAGCUUUAAUUAACCGACCCAAAGAGAUCUUGAUAAUCAACCGACAGGGAUAACAUACCUCUACCAUGGGCCGACAAUUUAGGUUGGGGUGACCUCGGAGAAUAAAACAACCUCCGAGUGAUUUAAAUCUAGACUAACUAGUCGAAAGUACUACAUCACUUAUUGAUCCAAAAACUUGAUCAACGGAACAAGUUACCCUAGGGAWAMCAGCSCAAUUYCUAUUUUAGAGUCCAUAUCGACAAAAGGAU